rnacentral:lncRNA from 1 species
GUACUUUUGCUAUGCUUCGUCUUGGUAAAGAGGUUUCUACUAACCACAGUUAGCAGUUCUUGGAUGUGUGCAUAAGGAUGCUAGCCAACUAUCUGUUUGCAUCUACUCACUUUGACUCAUUCUUUCUGUAAAUUUACAGCAAGUCUUACACAUAAGCUUCUGCCAGCAAGGAACCUUGGCAGGUCUCCUCAACAAAACUAAGGCAAAGCGUGUAUGAAUCUCUAUUGUCAGCCUGAUGAUUGGUUUCUGCUAGAAGCAGAAGUGUCUGAAGAGGCAGGAAGUGCUUGUUUUGCAGAACUAAUUGAAACUGAAUGUGGAACGUGGCUGCGGAGAAAACUAAAAAUAUUCUUUCUAUAUUUGGAAUCCUCAUGUGUUACCACC